ACGGCCAUUUAACGUGGAAACACCGAUUCCUGUACGAUCACCGAAGUUAAGAAAUGUCGAGCCUUGUCAGUACCUAAAUGUGUAACCGCUUGGUAGUAUCACGUGCUGUCUG